rnacentral:rRNA from 1 species
GAUCCUGGCUCAGAUUGAACGCUGGCGGCAUGCCUUACACAUGCAAGUCGAACGGCAGCACGGACUUCGGUCUGGUGGCGAGUGGCGAACGGGUGAGUAAUGUAUCGGAACGUACCUUUCAGUGGGGGAUAACGUAGCGAAAGUUACGCUAAUACCGCAUAUUCUGUGAGCAGGAAAGCAGGGGAUCGCAAGACCUUGCGCUGAUUGAGCGGCCGAUAUCAGAUUAGCUAGUUGGUGGGGUAAAGGCCUACCAAGGCUACGAUCUGUAGCGGGUCUGAGAGGAUGAUCCGCCACACUGGAACUGAGACACGGUCCAGACUCCUACGGGAGGCAGCAGUGGGGAAUUUUGGACAAUGGGGGCAACCCUGAUCCAGCCAUGCCGCGUGAGUGAAGAAGGCCUUCGGGUUGUAAAGCUCUUUCGGCCGGGAAGAAAUCGCAUCAGCUAAUACCUGGUGUGGAUGACGGUACCGGAAUAA